CCUACGGGGGGCUGCAGUGGGGAAUAUUGCACAAUGGGCGCAAGCCUGAUACAGCCAUGCCGCGUGUGUGAAGAAGGCCUUCGGGUUGUAAAGCACUUUCAGCGGGGAGGAAGGCGUUAAGGUUAAUAACCUUGGCGAUUGACGUUACCCGCAGAAGAAGCACCGGCUAACUCCGUGCCAGCAGCCGCGGUAAUACGGAGGGUGCAAGCGUUAAUCGGAAUUACUGGGCGUAAAGCGCACGCAGGCGGUCUGUCAAGUCGGAUGUGAAAUCCCCGGGCUCAACCUGGGAACUGCAUUCGAAACUGGCAGGCUAGAGUCUUGUAGAGGGGGGUAGAAUUCCAGGUGUAGCGGUGAAAUGCGUAGAGAUCUGGAGGAAUACCGGUGGCGAAGGCGGCCCCCUGGACAAAGACUGACGCUCAGGUGCGAAAGCGUGGGGAGCAAACAGGAUUAGAUACCCCAGUAGUC
rnacentral:rRNA from 1 species